rnacentral:rRNA from 1 species
CAGCAGCCGCGGGAAUACAUAGGGUGCAAGCGUUAAUCGGAAUUACUGGGCGUAAAGCGUGCGCAGGCGGUUAUAUAAGACAGAUGUGAAAUCCCCGGGCUCAACCUGGGAACUGCAUUUGUGACUGUAUAGCUAGAGUACGGCAGAGGGGGAUGGAAUUCCGCGUGUAGCAGUGAAAUGCGUAGAUAUGCGGAGGAACACCGAUGGCGAAGGCAAUCCCCUGGGCCUGUACUGACGCUCAUGCACGAAAGCGUGGGGAGCAAACAGGAUUAGAUACCCCCGUAGUCCCUGUCUCUUAUAC